GAGUUUGAUCAUGGCUCAGGACGAACGCUGGCGGCGUGCCUAAUACAUGCAAGUCGAACGAACUCUGGUAUUGAUUGGUGCUUGCAUCAUGAUUUACAUUUGAGUGAGUGGCGAACUGGUGAGUAACACGUGGGAAACCUGCCCAGAAGCGGGGGAUAACACCUGGAAACAGAUGCUAAUACCGCAUAACAACUUGGACCGCAUGGUCCGAGUUUGAAAGAUGGCUUCGGCUAUCACUUUUGGAUGGUCCCGCGGCGUAUUAGCUAGAUGGUGGGGUAACGGCUCACCAUGGCAAUGAUACGUAGCCGACCUGAGAGGGUAAUCGGCCACAUUGGGACUGAGACACGGCCCAAACUCCUACGGGAGGCAGCAGUAGGGAAUCUUCCACAAUGGACGAAAGCCUGAUGGAGCAACGCCGCGUGAGUGAAGAAGGGUUUCGGCUCGUAAAACUCUGUUGUUAAAGAAGAACAUAUCUGAGAGUAACUGUUCAGGUAUUGACGGUAUUUAACCAGAAAGCCACGGCUAACUACGUGCCAGCAGCCGCAGUAAUACGUAGGUGGCAAGCGUUGUCCGGAUUUAUUGGGCGUAAAGCGAGCGCAGGCGGUUUUUUAAGUCUGAUGUGAAAGCCUUCGGCUCAACCGAAGAAGUGCAUCGGAAACUGGGAAACUUGAGUGCAGAAGAGGACAGUGGAACUCCAUGUGUAGCGGUGAAAUGCGUAGAUAUAUGGAAGAACACCAGUGGCGAAGGCGGCUGUCUGGUCUGUAACUGACGCUGAGGCUCGAAAGUAUGGGUAGCAAACAGGAUUAGAUACCCUGGUAGUCCAUACCGUAAACGAUGAAUGCUAAGUGUUGGAGGGUUUCCGCCCUUCAGUGCUGCAGCUAACGCAUUAAGCAUUCCGCCUGGGGAGUACGGCCGCAAGGCUGAAACUCAAAGGAAUUGACGGGGGCCCGCACAAGCGGUGGAGCAUGUGGUUUAAUUCGAAGCUACGCGAAGAACCUUACCAGGUCUUGACAUACUAUGCAAAUCUAAGAGAUUAGACGUUCCCUUCGGGGACAUGGAUACAGGUGGUGCAUGGUUGUCGUCAGCUCGUGUCGUGAGAUGUUGGGUUAAGUCCCGCAACGAGCGCAACCCUUAUUAUCAGUUGCCAGCAUUAAGUUGGGCACUCUGGUGAGACUGCCGGUGACAAACCGGAGGAAGGUGGGGAUGACGUCAAAUCAUCAUGCCCCUUAUGACCUGGGCUACACACGUGCUACAAUGGAUGGUACAACGAGUUGCGAACUCGCGAGAGUAAGCUAAUCUCUUAAAGCCAUUCUCAGUUCGGAUUGUAGGCUGCAACUCGCCUACAUGAAGUCGGAAUCGCUAGUAAUCGCGGAUCAGCAUGCCGCGGUGAAUACGUUCCCGGGCCUUGUACACACCGCCCGUCACACCAUGAGAGUUUGUAACACCCAAAGUCGGUGGGGUAACCUUUUAGGAACCAGCCGCCUAAGGUGGGACAGAUGAUUAGGGUGAAGUCGUAACAAGGUAACC
rnacentral:rRNA from 2 species